rnacentral:rRNA from 1 species
AGCGAACGCUGGCGGCAAGCUUAACACAUGCAAGUCGAACGGACCCUUCGGGGUUAGUGGCGGACGGGUGAGUAAUACGUGGGAACGUGCCCUUAGGUUCGGAACAACACAGGGAAACUUGUGCUAAUACCGGAUGUGCCCUUCGGGGGAAAGAUUUAUCGCCUUUGGAGCGGCCCGCGUCGGAUUAGCUAGCUGGUGAGGUAAAGGCUCACCAAGGCUACGAUCAGUAGCUGGUCUGAGAGGAUGGCCAGCCACAUUGGGACUGAGACACGGCCCAAACUCCUACGGGAGGCAGCAGUGGGGAAUCUCGCGCAAUGGGCGAAAGCCUGACGCAGCCAUGCCGCGUGGAUGAUGAAGGUCUUAGGAUUGUAAAAUCCUUUCAGCGGGGACGAUAAUGACGGUACCCGCAGAAGAAGCCCCGGCUAACUUCGUGCCAGCCGCCGCGGUAACAC